UUAUUGCCUCCACCGGUGACAAGAGGACUGAUGAAUUUUUUGCCCAGAGAAUCAGCAUAGCGAUUCAACGGGAAAAUGCUGCCAGCAUUCCACGAGGACAUG